GACGAACGCUGGCGGCGUGCUUAACACAUGCAAGUCGAACGGAAAGGCCCUGCUUGCAGGGUACUCGAGUGGCGAACGGGUGAGUAACACGUGGGUGAUCUGCCCUGCACUUCGGGAUAAGCUUGGGAAACUGGGUCUAAUACCGGAUAGGAGCCAUCUUUAGUGUGGUGGUUGGAAAGUUUUUUCGGUGUAGGAUGAGCUCGCGGCCUAUUAGCUUGUUGGUGGGGUAAUGGCCUAGCAAGGCGGCGACGGGUAGCCGGCCGGAGAGGGUGUACGGCCACAUCGGAACUGAGAUACGGCCCAGACUCCUACGGGAGGCAGCAGUGGGGAAUAUUGCACAAUGGGCGCAAGCCUGAUGCAGCGACGCCGCGUGGGGGAUGAAGGCCUUCGGGUUGUAAACUCCUUUCGCUAGGGACGAAGCUUUGUUGUGACGGUACCUAGAUAAGAAGCACCGGCUAACUACGUG
rnacentral:rRNA from 1 species